rnacentral:rRNA from 1 species
GGAUUAUUGGGGCGUAAAGAGCUCGUAGGCGGUUUGUCGCGUCUGCCGUGAAAGUCCGGGGCUCAACUCCGGAUCUGCGGUGGGUACGGGCAGACUAGAGUGAUGUAGGGGAGACUGGAAUUCCUGGUGUAGCGGUGAAAUGCGCAGAUAUCAGGAGGAACACCGAUGGCGAAGGCAGGUCUCUGGGCAUUAACUGACGCUGAGGAGCGAAAGCAUGGGGAGCGAACAGGAUUAGAUACCCUGGUAGUCCAUGCCGUAAACGUUGGGCACUAGGUGUGGGGGACAUUCCACGUUUUCCGCGCCGUAGCUAACGCAUUAAGUGCCCCGCCUGGGGAGUACGGCCGCAAGGCUAAAACUCAAAGGAAUUGACGGGGGCCCGCACAAGCGGCGGAGCAUGCGGAUUAAUUCCAUGCAACGCGAAGAACCUUACCAAGGCUUGACAUGGACCGGAGGGGCGCAGAAA